ensembl:lincRNA
AUGGUCCUGGAGAUUGCCCAGAAGCAGAGCAUGAACGAGUCAGCCCACCUGGGCUGGGAGCUGGAGCAGCUGUCUAAGAACGCGGAGUUGUCAGACGCCUCCAGGAAGUCGUUUGUGUUUGAGCUGAACGAAUGUGCAUCUAGCCGCAUCCUAAAGCUGGAGAAGGAGAACCAGAGCCUCCAGAGCACCAUCCAGGGGCUGCGGGAUGCAUCCCUGGCACUGGAAGAGAGCAACCUCAAGUGCGGAGAGCUGGAGAAGGAGAACCACCAGCUCAGCAAGAAGAUUGAAAAGUUACAGACCCAGCUGGAGAGAGAGAAACAGAGCAACCAGGACCUGGAGACCCUCAGUGAGGAGCUGAUCCGGGAGAAGGAACAGCUGCAGAGUGACAUGGAGGCCCUGAAGGCCGACAAGGCCAGGCAGAUCAAGGAUCUGGAGCAGGAGAAGGAACACCUUCACCGAACCGUGUGGUCGCUACGGGAGAAGUCGCAGGCCAGCAGUGAGGCCCGUGGGAAGGACGUCGAGAAGGAGAACAGGGCCCUCCACCAGGCAGUGACAGAGGCUGGCAGCAAACUGAGCCAGCUUGAGUUGGACAAGAAGCAGCUGCACAGGGACCUGGAGCAGGCCAAGGAGAAGGGGGAGCGGGUGGAGGUGCUGGAGAAGGAGCUGCACCGUCUGGAGAAGGAGAACGAGCAGCUGGCCAAAAAGGUGACCUCCCUGAAGACGGUCACCGAGAAGGUCGAGGCCCUGGAGCAUGAAAGCCGGGGCCUGGAGCUGGAGAACCGGACGCUGAGGAAGUCACUGGACACUCUGCAGAACGUGUCAGUGCAGCUCGAGGGCCUGGAGCGUGACAACAAACAGCUGGAUGAGGAGAACCUGGAGCUUCGGAAGAUGGUGGAGACCAUGCGCUUCACCAGUGCCAAGAUGGCGCAGAUCGAGAGGGAGAACCAGCAGCUGGAGCGCGAGAAGGAGGAGCUGCGGAAGAGCGUGGACCUGCUGAAGGCGCUGAGCAAGAAGUCGGAGCGCCUGGAGCUCAGCUACCAGAGUGUAAGUGCCGAGAACCUCCGGCUGCAGCAGAGUUUAGAGAGCAGCGGCCACAAGUCACAGGCCCUCGAGCGGGAGCUGAGCGAGCUGGAGGCUGAGCACCAGGCGCUGCGGCGAGACCUGGAGGCCCUUCGGCUCACCAACAAGCAGCUGGAGAGGGCCGAGAAGGACAAAAAGGCCCUGGAGCAGGAGGUGGCCCAACUGGAGAAGGACAAGAAGCUGCUGGAGAAGGAGGCCAAGCGGCUGUGGCAGCAGGUGGAGCUGAAGGACGCCGUCUUGGACGAAAGCGCCGCCAAGCUGUCGGCAGCCGAGAAGGAGAGCCGUGCGCUGGACAAGGAGCUGGCCCGCUGCCGGGACGCGGCCAGCAAGCUGAAGGAGCUGGAGAAGGACAACAGGGACCUCACCAAGCAGGUCACCAUGCACACGAGGACGCUGACCACCCUGAGAGAGGUGAGCCGCAUGCUGGAGGGGUGGCGGGAGGGCCUGUUUCUGGGGUGUGUGGUUCUAGAAUAGAAGGGGGACUUUGCAUGUCCUCCAUAAGUGUAUCCCUUGUUCUAAUAUUCCAAAAUCCAAAGAACCAGUGGAAAUCAUAUGUUAUGAUCUUACUAUCCAGAGGUAGUUAUGCGUAACAUUUGGUUCGUUGUGUCAUUUCCCCUGUGCACGUGCAUACAGAUGCUCCUUGACUUACGAUGGGCUAUGUCUUCAUGAACCCACCGUGGGGUGAAAACGCUGUAAGUGGAAAAUGCAUUUAAUAUACCUGCUGCGCACCCUUGCAUAGCAACACAGCACACUGCGGAGUCGGUGGUUUCCCCUCCUGAUCAGGUGGCUGGCUGGGAGCAAUGGCUCAGUGUCCCACACAACGUCAGGAGAGAUCCGACGGCACUUUGCUAGCCUGGGGAAAGACCAAAAUUGAAAAUUUGAUUGUGAAGUCAAAAAAUUGUCAGUCAAGUCACCCUAAAUCAGGAUCAGCUGUUACAUGCUCUGCGUUAGACUAUACAGUGGGGCUGUUCUAAUUUUUUUAUCAUGUUAUGUCAUUUCUCAAAAGCUUCAAUUUUCAGUGGCUGUACAACUCUAUAGAUAUAAUUCUAUAGAGUUACAUUAUUUUGGAGGUGCUUAGGUUAUUCCCAGUACUUUGCACUGUUUCUUGUUUUGUUUGUUUUUGGUGCUAGGGAUUGAACCUAGGGCCUUGUGCAUGCUUGCUGAGCUCUGCCCCCAGCCCCCACUUUUUUGUUGUGGUUUUUUUUUUCUUUUUUUUUUUGGUACCAGCAAUUAAACUCACAACAUCAG